rnacentral:lncRNA from 1 species
UGUCAGACUUCUGAAAAUACACACUGCCCAUAAUCCAGCUGACAUGUUCACUAAACCAAUCCCUGCAAUUAAGUUCAGGAAUUUUCUGAACUUGAUUGGAAUAAAUAUUUGGUAAUGCCCUGCGGGGCUUGUGGUGAGGAGGAGGUUAUAAAUUUUUCAUCUGAUAUAUAAAAGGUACAAUAUUUGUCGCAAGGAGGAGGAUUGUUAUAUUUGGCUCCAAAUCAU